UACGUAGGGGGCUAGCGUUGUCCGGAUUUAUUGGGCGUAAAGAGCGUGUAGGCGGCCAGGUAGGUCUGCUGUGAAAACUCGAGGCUCAACCUCGAGACGUCGGCGGAAACCAUCUGGCUAGAGUCCGGAAGAGGAGAGUGGAAUUCCUGGUGUAGCGGUGAAAUGCGCAGAUAUCAGGAAGAACACCGGUGGCGAAAGCGCUCUGCUGGACCUUAACUGACACUGAGGGACGAAAGCUAGGGGAGCGAAUGGG
rnacentral:rRNA from 1 species